rnacentral:rRNA from 1 species
UACGUAGGGGGCAAGCGUUGUCCGGAUUCAUUGGGCGUAAAGAGCUCGUAGGCGGCUUGGCAAGUCGGGUGUGAAAACUCCAGGCUCAACCUGGAGACGCCACCCGAUACUGCCAUGGCUAGAGUCCGGUAGGGGACCACGGAAUUCCUGGUGUAGCGGUGAAAUGCGCAGAUAUCAGGAGGAACACCGGUGGCGAAGGCGGUGGUCUGGGCCGGAACUGACGCUGAGGAGCGAAAGCGUGGGGAGCAAACGGG